rnacentral:rRNA from 1 species
CUCACCAAGGCGACGAUGCGUAGCCCGACCCUGAGAGGGUGAUCGGCCACACUGGGACUGAGACACGGCCCAGACUCCUACGGGAGGCAGCAGUAGGGAAUCUUCCGCAAUGGACGAAAGUCUGACGGAGCAACGCCGCGUGAGCGAUGAAGGCCUUCGGGUCGUAAAGCUCUGUUUGUUAGGGAAGAACAAGUUGCUAGUUGAAUAAGCUGGCACCUUGACGGUACCUAACCAGAAAGCCACGGCUAACUACGUGCCAGCAGCCGCGGUAAUACGUAGGUGGCAAGCGUUAUCCGGAAUUAUUGGGGCGUAAAGCGCGCGCAUGGUGGUUUCUUAAGUCUGAUGUGAAAGCCCACGGCUCAACCGUGGAGGGUCAUUGGAAACUGGGAGACUUGAGUGCAGAAGAGGAAAGUGGAAUUCCAAGGUGUGUAGCGGUGAAAUGCGUAGAGAAAUGGAGGAACACCAGUGGGCGAAAGCGACUCUUCUGGUCUGCAACUGACACUGAGCGCGAAAGCGUGGGGAGCAAACAGAUUAGAUACCCUGGUAGUCCACGCCGUAAACGAUGAGUGCUAGUGUUUAAGAAGGUUUCGCCCUUUAGUG